UACAGAGGUCGUCAAGCGUUGUUCGGAUUCAUUGGGCGUAAAGGGUGCGUAGGUGGCAGGGUAAGUCGGAUGUGAAAUCCCGGGGCUCAACCUCGGAACUGCAUUCGAUACUGCUUUGCUGGAGUACUGGAGAGGAGAUUGGAAUUUACGGUGUAGCAGUGAAAUGCGUAGAUAUCGUAAGGAAGACCAGUGGCGAAGGCGGAUCUCUGGACAGUUACUGACACUGAGGCACGAAGGCCAGGGGAGCAAACGGG
rnacentral:rRNA from 1 species